AUGCCGCUGGGACUGGGGCGGCGGAAAAAGGCGCCCCCCUCUAGUGGAAAAUGAGGAGGCUGAGCCAGGCCGUGGCGGGCUGGGCGUGGGGGAGCCAGGGCCCCUGGGUGGAGGUGGGGCGGGGGGCCCCCAAUGGGCUUGCCCCCCCCUCCCCCAGCCCUGCGGCCCCGCCUCGUGUUCCACACCCAGCUGGCCCAUGGCAGUCCCACUGGCCGCAUUGAGGGCUUCACCAACGUCAAGGAGCUGUAUGGCAAGAUCGCCGAGGCCUUCCGCCUGCCAACUGCCGAGGUGAUGUUCUGCACCCUGAACACCCACAAAGUGGACAUGGACAAGCUCCUGGGGGGCCAGAUUGGGCUGGAGGACUUCAUCUUUGCCCACGUUAAGGGGCAGCGCAAGGAGGUGGAGGUGUUCAAGUCGGAGGAUGCACUCGGGCUCACCAUCACGGACAACGGGGCUGGCUACGCCUUCAUCAAGCGCAUCAAGGAGGGCAGCGUGAUCGACCACAUCCACCUCAUCAGCGUGGGCGACAUGAUCGAGGCCAUUAACGGGCAGAGCCUGCUGGGCUGCCGGCACUACGAGGUGGCCCGGCUGCUCAAGGAGCUGCCUCGAGGCCGUACCUUCACACUGAAGCUCACGGAGCCUCGCAAGGCCUUCGACAUGAUCAGCCAACGCUCAGCGGGUGGCCGCCCUGGCUCCGGCCCACAACUGGGCACUGGCCGAGGGACCCUGCGGCUCCGAUCCCGGGGCCCUGCCACGGUGGAGGAUCUGCCCUCUGCCUUUGAAGAGAAGGCAUUGAGAAGGGUGGAUGACCUGCUUGGAGAGUUUACAUGGGUAUCAGGGACACGGAGUUGGCGGCCACCAUGGUGGAGCUGGGAAAGGACAAAAGGAACCCGGAUGAGCUGGCCGAGGCCCUGGACGAACGGCUGGGUGACUUCGCCUUCCCUGACGAAUUCGUCUUUGACGUCUGGGGCGCCAUCGGGGACGCCAAGUCGGCCGCUACUAGGACUCCCCCCGGACCCUGCGAUGAUGACCCGGGCCCAACCUGGUGGGGGCCCCCAGCAGCGACACUGACAUCAGGACUCAAGCCUCCAGCCUGA